rnacentral:rRNA from 1 species
UGCCCUGUACACACGGAUAACAUACCGAAAGGUAUGCUAAUACGAGAUAAUAUACUUUUAUCGCAUGGUAGAAGUAUCAAAGCUUUUGCGGUACAGGAUGGACCCGCGUCUGAUUAGCUAGUUGGUAAGGUAACGGCUUACCAAGGCGACGAUCAGUAGCCGACCUGAGAGGGUGAUCGGCCACAUUGGAACUGAGACACGGUCCAAACUCCUACGGGAGGCAGCAGUGGGGAAUAUUGCACAAUGGGCGAAAGCCUGAUGCAGCAACGCCGCGUGAGCGAUGAAGGCCUUCGGGUCGUAAAGCUCUGUCCUCAAGGAAGAUAAUGACGGUACUUGAGGAGGAAGCCCCGGCUAACUACGUGCCAGCAGCCGCGGUAAUACGUAGGGGGCUAGCGUUAUCCGGAAUUACUGGGCGUAAAGGGUGCGUAGGUGGUUUCUUAAGUCAGAGGUGAAAGGCUACGGCUCAACCGUAGUAAGCCUUUGAAACUGGGAAACUUGAGUGCAGGAGAGGAGAGUGGAAUUCCUAGUGUAGCGGUGAAAUGCGUAGAUAUUAGGAGGAACACCAGUUGCGAAGGCGGCUCUCUGGACUGUAACUGACACUGAGGCACGAAAGCGUGGGGAGCAAACAGGAUUAGAUACCCUGGUAGUCCACGCCGUAAACGAUGAGUACUAGCUGUCGGAGGUUACCCCCUUCGGUGGCGCAG